GCCCCCGUGGCGGAAUGGUAGACGCGACCGACUCAAAAUCGGUUGUCGAGAGACGUGUCCGUUCGAGUCGGACCGGGGGCACCA
rnacentral:tRNA from 2 species